UCAUGGCGCCCCGAACCCUCCUCCUGCUGCUCUCAGGGACCCUGGCCCUGACCCAGACUUGGGCGCGCUCCCACUCCAUGAGGUAUUUCUACACCACCAUGUCCCGGCCCGGCCGCGGGGAGCCCCGCUUCAUCUCCGUCGGCUACGUGGACGAUACGCAGUUCGUGCGGUUUGACAGCGACGACGCGAGUCCGAGAGAGGAGCCGCGGGCGCCGUGGAUGGAGCGGGAGGGGCCGGAGUAUUGGGACCGGAACACACAGAUCUGCAAGGCCCAGGCACAGACUGAACGAGAGAACCUGCGGAUGGCGCUCCGCUACUACAACCAGAGCGAGGGCUGUUCUCACACCAUGCAGGUGAUGUAUGGCUGCGACGUGGGGCCCGACGGGCGCUUCCUCCGCGGGUAUGAACAGCACGCCUACGACGGCAAGGAUUACAUCGCUCUGAACGAGGACCUGAGCUCCUGGACCGCGGCGGACAUGGCAGCUCAGAUCACCAAGCGCAAGUGGGAGGCGGCCCGUCGGCCGGAGCAGUUGAGAGCCUACCUGGAGGGCGAGUUCGUGGAGUGGCUCCGCAGAUACCUGGAGAACGGGAAGGAGACGCUGCAGCGCGCGGACCCCCCCAAGACACAUAUGACCCACCACCCCAUCUCUGACCAUGAGGCCACCCUGAGGUGCUGGGCCCUGGGCUUCUACCCUGCGGAGAUCACACUGACCUGGCAGCGGGAUGGGGAGGACCAGACCCAGGACACGGAGCUCGUGGAGACCAGGCCUGCAGGGGAUGGAACCUUCCAGAAGUGGGCGGCUGUGGUGGUGCCUUCUGGAGAGGAGCAGAGAUACACCUGCCAUGUGCAGCAUGAGGGUCUGCCCGAGCCCCUCACUCUGAGAUGGGAGCCAUCUUCCCAGCCCACCGUCCCCAUCGUGGGCAUCGUUGCUGGCCUGGUUCUACUUGUAGCUGUGGUCACUGGAGCUGUGGUCGCUGCUGUAAUGUGGAGGAAGAAGAGCUCAGAUAGAAAAGGAGGGAGCUACUCUCAGGCUGCAAGCAGCAACAGUGCCCAGGGCUCUGAUGUGUCUCUCAUGGCUUGAAAGUGUGAGACAGCUGCCUUGUG